rnacentral:rRNA from 1 species
CUCCAAGGCUAAAUACUACUGACUGACCGAUAGUGAACCAGUACCGUGAGGGAAAGGCGAAAAGAACCCCGGAGAGGGGAGUGAAAUAGAUCCUGAAACCGUAUGCGUACAAGCAGUGGGAGCAGACUUCGUUCUGUGACUGCGUACCUUUUGUAUAAUGGGUCAGCGACUUAUUUUCAGUGGCGAGCUUAACCGAAUAGGGGAGGCGUAGCGAAAGCGAGUCUUAAUAGGGCGUCUAGUCGCUGGGAAUAGACCCGAAACCGGGCGAUCUAUCCAUGGGCAGGUUGAAGGUUAGGUAACACUGACUGGAGGACCGAACCGACUACCGUUGAAAAGUUAGCGGAUGACCUGUGGAUCGGAGUGAAAGGCUAAUCAAGCUCGGAGAUAGCUGGUUCUCCUCGAAAGCUAUUUAGGUAGCGCCUCAUGUAUCACUGUAGGGGGUAGAGCACUGUUUCGGCUAGGGGGUCAUCCCGACUUACCAAACCGAUGCAAACUCCGAAUACCUACAAGUGCCGAGCAUGGGAGACACACGGCGGGUGCUAACGUCCGUCGUGAAAAGGGAAACAACCCAGACCGUCAGCUAAGGUCCCAAAGUUAUGGUUAAGUGGGAAACGAUGUGGGAAGGCUUAGACAGCUAGGAGGUUGGCUUAGAAGCAGCCACCCUUUAAAGAAAGCGUAAUAGCUCACUAGUCGAGUCGGCCUGCGCGGAAGAUGUAACGGGGCUCAAACCAUACACCGAAGCUACGGGUAUCACGUAAGUGAUGCGGUAGAGGAGCGUUCUGUAAGCCUGUGAAGGUGAGUUGAGAAGCUUGCUGGAGGUAUCAGAAGUGCGAAUGCUGACAUGAGUAACGACAAUGGGUGUGAAAAACAUCCACGCCGAAAGACCAAGGGUUCCUGCGCAACGUUAAUCGACGCAGGGUUAGUCGGUUCCUAAGG